rnacentral:rRNA from 1 species
CAUGGCGCGGGAAUCCGGUUGAUCCUGCCGGACGUACCGCUAUUGGAGUUCGAUUAAGCCAUGCGAGUCUAGAGGCCUAGCCUCGGCGUACCGCUCAGUAACACGUGGGUAACCUACCCUAUGCUGGGGAAUAAGCUCGGGAAACUGAGAAUAAUGCCCCAUAGUCCACUACGCCUGGAACGGUGAGUGGAUUAAAGCUCCGGCGGCAUAGGAUGGGCCUGCGGCGUAUCAGGUUGUAGGGGGUGUAAUGUACCCUCUAGCCAUCCACGCGUACGGGUGUUGGGAGACAUUGCCCGGAGAUGGAUUCUGAGACACGAAUCCAGACCCUACGGGUGGCAGCAGGCGCGAAAACUUGGCAAUGCGAGAAAUCGUGACCAGGGAACUCCAAGUGGCAGGGGUAAGACCUGUCUUUUUUCCGACUUAAAUAGGUCGGCGAAUAAGGGGUGGGUAAGGACGGUGCCAGCCGCCCGCGUAAUACCGCGCCUCAAGUGGUAGUCGCUUUUAUUGGGCCUAAAACGUCGUAGCCGGUCUGGUACAUUCGUGGGUAAAUCAACUCGCUCAACGAGUUGAAUUCUGCGAGGACGGCCAGACUUGGGACCGGGAGAGGUGUGGGGUACUCUCAGGGUAGGGGUAAAAUCCUGUCAUCCUGAGAGGACCACCUGUUGCGAAGGCUCCACACUAGAACGGAUCCGACGGUCAGGGACGAAGCCUAGGGGCACGAACCGGAUUAGAUACCCGGGUAGUCCUAGGUGUAAACGCUGUGGACUUGAUGUUGGGGACGCUCCGAGCGUUCUCAGUGUCGAAGCGAAGGUGAUAAGUCCACUGCCUGGGGAGUACGGUCGCAAGGCUGAAACUUAAAGGAAUUGGCGGGGGAGCACCGCAACCUGAGGAUUGUGCGGUUUAAUUGGAUUCAACGCCGGAAAUCA